rnacentral:ncRNA from 1 species
GGGAGGAAGUGGUGUAGCAAAGCCGAUGAGCCUACGAACAGAAACCGGAUAUGAGGCUAAAUGGCGGGUGAGGUUGCUAUACAAACCGAAGCCCUAAGGGUAAAUGUAAAGCCAAGAUAGUAAAUCCGGAGGUUGUGCGGCGAAAGAAC